GUGGGGAAUUUUGGACAAUGGGCGCAAGCCUGAUCCAGCAAUGCCGCGUGCAGGAAGAAGGCCUUCGGGUUGUAAACUGCUUUUGUACGGAACGAAACGGUCCGGGUUAAUACCCUGGGCUAAUGACGGUACCGUAAGAAUAAGCACCGGCUAACUACGUGCCAGCAGCCGCGGUAAUACGUAGGGUGCAAGCGUUAAUCGGAAUUACUGGGCGUAAAGCGUGCGCAGGCGGUUUUGUAAGACAGGCGUGAAAUCCCCGGGCUCAACCUGGGAAUUGCGCUUGUGACUGCAAGGCUGGAGUGCGGCAGAGGGGGAUGGAAUUCCGCGUGUAGCAGUGAAAUGCGUAGAUAUGCGGAGGAACACCGAUGGCGAAGGGAAUCCCCUGGGCCUGCACUGACGCUCAUGCACGAAAGCGUGGGGAGCAAACAGGAUUAGAUACCCGUGUAGUCC
rnacentral:rRNA from 1 species